UACGGAGGGAGCUAGCGUUGUUCGGAAUUACUGGGCGUAAAGCGCACGUAGGCGGCGAUUCAAGUCAGGGGUGAAAGCCCGGGGCUCAACUCCGGAACUGCCUUUGAAACUAGAUUGCUAGAAUCUUGGAGAGGCGAGUGGAAUUCCGAGUGUAGAGGUGAAAUUCGUAGAUAUUCGGAAGAACACCAGUGGCGAAGGCGACUCGCUGGACAAGUAUUGACGCUGAGGUGCGAAAGCGUGGGGAGCAAACAGG
rnacentral:rRNA from 1 species